GUGCUCGCUUCGGCAGCACAUAUACUAAAAUUGGAAUGAUACAGGGAAGAUUAGCAUGGUCCCUGAGUAAGGAUGACAAGCAAAUUCGAGAAAUCACUCCUGUCAGG